rnacentral:rRNA from 1 species
UCUACCAGUAAGACUGUGGGGGAUAAGCUCCAUUGUCAAGAGGGAAACAGCCCAGAGCACCAGUUAAGGCCCUUAAAUAAUUACUAAGUGAUAAAGGAGGUGGGAGUGCAUAAACAAUCAGGAGGUUUGCUUAGAAGCAGCAAUCCUUUAAAGAGUGCGUAAUAGCUCACUGAUCGAGUAAACCUGCGCCGAAAAUGAACGGGACUAAGUAAUUUGCCGAAACUGUGCG